rnacentral:rRNA from 1 species
AGUAAUGCUUGGGAAUCUAGCUUAUGGAGGGGGAUAACUACGGGAAACUGUAGCUAAUACCGCGUAGAAUCGAGAGAUGAAAGUGUGGGACCUUCGGGCCACAUGCCAUAGGAUGAGCCCAAGUGGGAUUAGGUAGUUGGUGAGGUAAAGGCUCACCAAGCCAACGAUCUCUAGCUGGUCUGAGAGGAUGACCAGCCACACUGGGACUGAGACACGGCCCAG